CAGUAGCCGCGGGAAUACGAAGGUCCCGAGCGUUGUUCGGAAUCACUGGGCGUAAAGGGAGCGUAGGCGGCGUGGUAAGUCAGAUGUGAAAUCCCCGGGCUCAACCGGGGAGGGUCAUUGGGAACUGGGAAACUUGAGUGCAGAAGAGGAGAGUGGAAUUCCACGUGUAGCGGUGAAGUGCGUAGAGAUGUGGAGGAACACCGGUGGCGAAGGCGACUCUCUGGUCUGUAACUGACGCUGAGGAGCGAAAGCGUAGGGAGCGAACAGGAUUAGAUACCCCGGUAGUCCCUGUCUCUUAUAC
rnacentral:rRNA from 1 species